UUAGGAAUCUUGCGCAAUGGGGGAAACCCUGACGCAGCGACGCCGCGUGCGGGAUGAAGGCCUUCGGGUCGUAAACCGCUUUCAGGAGGGACGAAAUUGACGGUACCUCCAGAAGAAGGCCCGGCCAACUACGUGCCAGCAGCCGCGGUAAUACGUAGGGGCCUAGCGUUGUCCGGAUUUAUUGGGCGUAAAGAGCUCGUAGGCGGAUUGGUAAGUCGGUUGUGAAAUCUCCACGCUCAACGUGGAGCGGUCAGUUGAUACUGCCAAUCUUGAGUCCGGUAGGGGAGUGUGGAAUUCCCGGUGUAGCGGUGAAAUGCGCAGAUAUCGGGAGGAACACCAGUAGCGAAGGCGGCACUCUGGGCCGGUACUGACGCUGAGGAGCGAAAGCGUGGGGAGCAAACAGGAUUAGAUACCCCCGUAGUCC
rnacentral:rRNA from 1 species